GGUGAAGUCGCCGCCGCCUGGAGCCCAGCCGACCUCAGGAGAUGUGCCAGAGGGGCGCGCCGCGCUGCGAGCGGGAGAGCGUCUGAUCCGAGGCUGACGCCGGCAGGAAGCGGUGCCACAACGCAGCAUGACGGCCGACGGCGACACGGCCGGCCCAGGCCGCCCGCUCCCUGGUCCUCCUCGUGCUGCUGUUCUCCUGUACAGAGGGCUGGGGCCCCAAGCCGAACGAGACGUACACAGAGGUGGUGCCGUCGCUGGUGCCGGCGCGGACGCCGCGGCCGCCCAUCGCGGCCGACGGCGACGAACAGCUACGUGUUCCC